UACGAAGGGGGCUAGCGUUGCUCGGAAUCACUGCGCGUAAAGCGCACGUAGGCGGAUUGCUAAGUCAGGGGUGAAAUCCUGGAGCUCAACUCCAGAACUGCCUUUGAUACUGGCGAUCUCGAGUCCGGGAGAGGUGAGUGGAACUGCGAGUGUAGAGGUGAAAUUCGUAGAUAUUCGCAAGAACACCAGUGGCGAAGGCGGCUCACUGGCACGGUACUGACGCUGAGGUGCGAAAGCGUGGGGAGCAAACAGG
rnacentral:rRNA from 1 species